CUGGGUUUCUGACUGCCCCACCCCAGAGCCAGAUGGAGGCCCGCCUCACUGGCCCAGUUCACCUGGAGAAUGAGGCAAGGCUGAGAGAGUGGCUGCGGGGGAGGGCAUGGAGAGGGCGGUUUCCCCGGGAACUCGGGUCAGAUCUCUUCCACAUGAGCUGGGGGACCCGGGGAGGGUCAGCUCGCCCCUCUGAGCACAGGCUGAUUUUCCCGGAAGCCAAGGGAGCGUAGGCUCGCAGAGCCCCCCGAGAAUCCGAGAGGGAGUUCACCAGGGGGUCCACCCAGCUGGCGUGUGUUGGGCCAUUUACAGAAGUAAGAUGCUUUGGUCUUCUUAGAGUCUCUCCAAAUUGCGUAGGCUUUGGGCUCGCCUAGAAUUGCAAGAGCCAUCACAGGGUGCUGCGGGGAUGGAAGGGGCAGAUGUAGAUCAAGCUGCAGCCCAGAGCCCGGCCACCAAGCGCUCAGGGAGAGAGCGCCUCCGCGUCCUCACCCGUGAGAGGGCCGUGGGGCCGCGGCUCCCUCCUGACGCCGUGCAAGCGUCCGAUGGGUGAAUACAGACGAAGCGCCCAGCUCAGCCCCUGGAGCAGGGCAAGUGCUCUGCACGCCUGGCCAGGCGUGACCCGCCGACGAGCAACCGUGGGACCCAGCGAGUGUGUGAGCAAGCGAGCAGGCCAGCUCGCGAGGGACACGUGAUGCGUGUGGAACCCUGUUCCCCGGAAACGCACAAAGACGCUGAGACCCCCUUUCGCCAAGCCAGUCUAAGAACCGGCCUGCCAAGGGGCAGGGGGCUGGGCUCAGCGACCCAGAUUUCCUGUAGGUCAGGACAAGAGCGACAGAAAAGCCUGGACCUUUGGCCAGUGGUUUCUGGGAAGACACCUGGAUCAGAGGAGGCUGGAAGGCUAGAACAGGAGGAGGGCUGGGGGCCGGAGUUUCAUCCAGGGCAACCCCGCUCCUGUACUCCCGGUUCUACCAGCAAUCAUGAAUGACAUUUUCAUGGAGGACUUCCUGGAGGAGGCGACUUUUGAGGGAGGGAAGUGACAGGGAAGGGCAGAAAGAAGUGCAAGCCAGGAGACACGGGACGCCCGAGUGUCAUCAGCGUCGCUGUGGACAUUAGGCCCCGUGCUGGGUCGUCAACAGUCCUGGCGAUGCCCUUUGCAGCCAAAGCACCCAGUUCACAGACCUGAGUCGUCAGUUUUCUCAUUCUGGACGAGUUACUCACGCUCCCUUUCACAGCCCUGACAUCGUUCAAGAUUUCAGGUCAGCUGGUUUGUAGAGUUUGGGUUUGGCUGCUGUUUGCUCACGGCUGGGUGCAUCUGUGCCAGGCCUCUCCCAGGUGGCACCUGCUUGGUUUUGAAUUUGUUCCAUCAUGACACGUCCCCGUGUCAGCUGGGGUCCCUUGAUGGAGGUGGUAUCUGCCUGGUUUCCACCAUCGAGCGAGUCUUCCCCACUUUGUGAUUAAGGAGUAUUUUGUGAGGAGACGCUGUGAGACUGGGUCCUUAUCACCAAAGUGUCCAAUUAUUCACUUAUUUAUAGCAGGGUGGACUCAUGUUUCCUAUUGCAUUCAGCCGUUUGGCCUAAUCCAUGCUUAUGCUAAUGCUCAAAUUGCCCCAGAGCUGGCCAGCGGUUACCCCUCGAGUGGGUCCCAGGGCAUUUGGGCACAUGGCCACCGUUGUUUGAGUGGUUCCUUCACUGCUGGCACCACAAGCUGUUGCGGCUUCAUCUCGUACUUUCCUCACCUGGAAUCAGCCAUGUCGCUAAGGAAUCCGGGUUCCUUUAGUGGAGAGUGGUACACGGACGCCAGCUUGUGGGUGCGAACGUGCUCAUCGCAACUGAGCAGCAGAGCGGGGGGCAGGGGCAGGAAACACCUCUAUUUACACACACAGGUACGCUGCAGGGUAGGCGCAUAACGCACACUUCCGCAUCUGUAGCUCUAGCUCUCUCUCAUACUGAAAGCUGUGUGUACCCACCGAUCCCUCAACUCCCAGCGCGAUGCCCCAGGAUUCGUUUUCACGUUCUCCCUUUCCAUGUCUGUACUCCCUUCUCUGCUGUGCAAGCCUGGGCUUCCCUGAUCCUGAGCACAUCUGCCAGGUCGCUGAACCACCUUGUGUGUGGGCCGUCUCCCACUCCCCCACCCCCCACGGGAUGCCCUCCUCGGCCCCUCACUCGCCCGACUCCGGCGCCCCUCGCCUGGCCACCUUCUACAUUCUGGGGGGCUCUGACAGCCCACUGCCCCCUCGCGGAUGACCGUGUUGCCCUCUUGGGCUCUGGUACCCACACGAGGCCACCCUUCCGGGGGGCAGCCUUACACCCUUGCCCAGCUCUGACUGUCCGUCCUCUGGGACACUGCUGCCCCGUGGACACUCACCUCACCCAAGGAGGC
ensembl:lncRNA